rnacentral:sRNA from 1 species
ACGCUGGCUCCGUGCCUAAUACAUGCAAGUCGAGCGAAUCGAUGGGAGCUUGCUCCCUGAGAUUAGCGGCGGACGGGUGAGUAACACGUGGGUAACCUGCCUGUAAGACUGGGAUAACUUCGGGAAACCGGAGCUAAUACCGGAUAGGUUCUUUUCUCGCAUGAGGGAAGAUGGAAAGAUGGUUUCGGCUAUCACUUACAGAUGGACCCGCGGCGCAUUAGCUAGUUGGUGAGGUAACGGCUCACCAAGGCAACGAUGCGUAGCCGACCUGAGAGGGUGAUCGGCCACACUGGGACUGAGACACGGCCCAGACUCCUACGGGAGGCAGCAGUGGG